AACGAACGUUGGCGGCGUGGAUUAGGCAUGCAAGUCGAACGCGAAUCCCUGGGCAACUGGGGAGGAGAGUGGCGAAAGGGGCAGUAAGGCGUGGGUAACCUACCCUCCGGGCCGGGAUAGCUUCGGGAAACUGAAGGUAAUACCGGGCGACGCAGCGAGAUCGCAUGGUCUUGCUGCCAAAGGUCCGCCGCCGGGGGAGGGGCUCACGUGGUAUUAGCUAGACGGCGGGGUAACGGCCCACCGUGGCAAAGAUGCCUAGCAGGUGUGAGAGCACGACCUGCGUCACUGGCACUGAGACACUGGCCAGACACCUACGGGUGGCUGCAGUCGAGGAUCUUCGGCAAUGGGCGCAAGCCUGACCGAGCGACGCCGCGUGUGCGAUGAAGGCCUUCGGGUUGUAAAGCACUGUCGAGGGGGAGGAAGCCGCAAGGUUGACCUAUCCCUGGAGGAAGCACGGGCUAAGUUCGUG
rnacentral:rRNA from 1 species